GUGCUAGCAUGGGCAGCACAAGUACUAAAAUUGGAAUGAUACAGAGAUUAGCACGGCCCCUCUGCUAAUAAAUGAAUUCAGCAAAGUGGCAGGGUACAAAACCCUA
rnacentral:snRNA from 1 species